rnacentral:tRNA from 1 species
GCUAUGCUGGCAGAGAAGUGCGUUAAAUUUAAGCUUUAAAAUAUACGAGGUUAGUCUUGUGCAUAGCU